rnacentral:rRNA from 1 species
GACGAACGCUGGCGGCGUGCCUAAUACAUGCAAGUUGAGCGCUGAAGGUUGGUACUUGUACCGACUGGAUGAGCAGCGAACGGGUGAGUAACGCGUGGGGAAUCUGCCUUUGAGCGGGGGACAACAUUUGGAAACGAAUGCUAAUACCGCAUAAAAACUUUAAACACAAGUUUUAAGUUUGAAAGAUGCAAUUGCAUCACUCAAAGAUGAUCCCGCGUUGUAUUAGCUAGUUGGUGAGGUAAAGGCUCACCAAGGCGAUGAUACAUAGCCGACCUGAGAGGGGGAUCGGCCACAAUGGGAACGAGACACGGCCCAAACUCCUACGGGAGGCAGCAGUAGGGAAUCUUCGGCAAUAGACGAAAGGCUGACCGAGCAACGCCGCGUGAGUGAAGAAGGUUGUCGGAUCGUAAAACUCUGUUGGUAGAGAAGAAAGUUGGUGAGAGUGGAAAGCUCAUCAAGUGACGGUAACUACCCAGAAAGGGACGGCUAACUACGUG